rnacentral:rRNA from 1 species
AUGGCAAAAAAAUAUGGAAAAAAAUUUCUUUUGAUUUGCCAUGGCAAUUUUUACUAUAUUGACAUGGCAAAUUUAAUUAUAAUGCCAUGUCAAUUUCUUUUUAACCUCCUUUUUUCUGUGAGAUUUUUACUUUUUCUUCCGUGGCAAAUUUUACCUUUUUCACAUGGCAAAAUUACCUACAUUGCUACUGUAAUCUUUAGCUUUUGCAUACAUGUCAAUAUAAUCGCUAGUGGCAAUUUUUUUCAUGCCAAAUUAACUUUUAUGGGACGAUGCCAAUUUACUCUAAUUUCCUUGCUUUUUUUGCUUUACAUAUGA